UAUGAUUCUCUUUAUUUUUAUUCUCAAUACUUUUUAUAUAGUUUUAAAAAUAUAUACAUAAUACCAUAAUAUGUAUUAAAUUAAAUUUUUCUAACAUACAAUUUAUAAUAAGCAGAGAUUUAUGAUUGAUAUUAGCUAUAAUUAGCUUUAACAUUACACAAGACAACCAAACCCAAAGCAACUAUAGCCACUUUAUUUUAUUUUAAAAAAGCAAACAUAUAUGAUAUGCUUUUUCUACAUUAUAUCAUUACAUAUAUUGCCUCCAAUAUCUCUGCUUCAACCUUUCAUGUGUUGCACUUCAUUUGCAGUUGCAAGGGUCACAAGUGCAGCUAUCACCACACUUGCAGCCACCAUCCUCAGCUGCAACACUCAUUUCAGCACCAUCAAACUGGAUCUUCGCCGGACCGACGCCAAGAAUCACGGUUUCUGUGGUUUCCAUUUCGGAGUAGCUCAAUCCACUAGACCUCUUGUUGCAUCUGCACAGCAAUAAAAAUCAAAAUAAUCCAAUAAAAUAUUAACAAAUUUUUUGCAAGAUUGAUUCUUAAGAAAAAAAAUAAAUACCAACAGAUUAAUAACCAUAUAGAAAAAAAUAAUUAUAUAGAUUUUAAUGUAAGGAAGAGUUAAGGUGGUGGAUCCUUACUUGCAGCUAUCACCACAGUUGCAACUGCUUCCACAACCACAGCUAGACAUAUUUUCAGAAACUAAGAUUUUUUUUGCAAACAACAAUUGAUAUUAAUUGCUUGGUUAGUGUUAUCUUCUAUAAAAGUGGUGUCUUUUAAUGAUGCUGUGUGACUCCAAUUUAUAAGGUGGAAGAGAAUAAUCAGUGAAAUCUUGACCGUCCACGUGUUGUAAUCUUGUGUUGUAUGGGUCCACAAGCCUACGCUUGGAUCAAUUCCUAGUAGACAUCGUUUUCAUUGCACGUCUUAUUGUGGUGUUGGCGAUAAAAUUGUUGCAUGCUUGCUGAUUGGUUUUCACAAAACAUGAUAUUUUAUUGAUUUUAUAAAUUUACUUUUAUUAACAAAUCAUAUUUGAAUAUAAAAGUCACCGCAACGUUUUUGCUUUUUGUACUUUUGGAGAAACAAUUGUUUGAUGAGAAAUAGAAUUUUGAAGCGGUAGGAUAAGUUUUCGGUACGAUAGAGAGAAGUUAAUAGUGAAAAAGUUAAAAAUAUAUAAUGAGGAAGAAUGAAUUUGAUUAUUUAAAAAUGACAUUUUUUUUCUUUUAUGGUUGAGGUGGUUAAAACCGCAAGCGAGGAGUGUGGCGUGAAUUGUCAUCACUGGUUCGAUUGAUCUGGACUGUUGAUAAUGUUUUAGAGGUGAAAUUGUCUAUUCUCAACGAGGAUGGAGGAACACUUGUUUCUCGCAUGCGCUCCUUUGCUUAGGUUUCGUCCAUUGCCUUGUGAGCGGCCACAAAUUGUUGUCCCCAAACCCUUGCUAUUGCUUUGUAAGAUACGUGUUUGCUAUAUACGUUCUAGACCGAUUGAUUGGCAUGAGGAGAUGAAGAGCUCUGAUGGGACAUCACUAUUAUUGGUAACAUACACAUUAAGUAUCUUUCUAGUAAUAAAUCUGAUGUGUGUUCCUAUGCUAGUUCCUAAUGAUUCUUCGUCUUCCUUAGAGAACUUAAGUACUUUGCAUAAUCUUUGAUGAAAUAUCGAUCGUCGAUGGUGCGUAGUAGAUCAUAUGAUCUCUAGUGGUAAAGGCACAUAUAAAAGAUCUCUAAAGCAUCAUUUUUCUAUUUAUUGUCAUCUGCAACCUGUGAAAGAUCUUAUUCUUGUCUUGCCAACUUCGUUCUUUAUCGAUAACUCUUUAAUUCUAGUUUCUUGCCUAAGCUCACAUGCAAUUUUCGUUUGGUGGCCUUUGAUACGCACACCAACCUACUUGUUUUAAGGUAAAGCCAAUGACUUAUUCUUGCUUUUGCCUUUUUAUAGUAUUUUUUGGACAAUGAGUUUUUUAGAAUGGACAUUCCAUCUUACAUAUUUUGCAAGGAAAUGAGGAUAUUUAUGUUGGACAAGCAUUAACUACCAUACAACGUAAUAUACCUACUAAGACUUCUGAGUCUCAUUUCCCUUGAAGGAGGAACACACAUACAUGUACUUUUUAACUAGUACAAUGACGUCCAUCGUGGGUCUUUGUAAAACUAUCAUAUGCCACACCGUGUUCAUCACCAUCACCCUGCAUGUUGUUACCCUUCACUCAUACACCUAGCCAUUUACAUCCAUGGCAAACAGGAGAGCUUCAUCCCCACACCAGAAGAUACCAGUAGUAUUGGUGAUGUCGAUGCUCUAGCAGAGAUGCGUGCCUCCAUGGAUGAGUUACGUCGCUAUAACCACACGCUGGAGGAUGAUGUCCACAAUAUCAAACAACGCCAAUAGGAUUCCAAUCCCUAGAGGAGAUGUAAAUGUUAGACCCCUAGCCGCUCUCAGAUGAGAUAUGGGGGAUAUAUGCCCCGAGGGUUUCAAACAUCCAUACUUGGCCAAUUUUGAUGGGCGCAAAGAUCCCUACGAGCAUGUCGCCUCCAUCAAUACAAAGAUGGCCAUUAUAGGAGUACCUGCCUCCCUGAAGUACAAGCUGCUAUCUAGCAUUUUUAGGGACGUCGCCCUUCGAUGGUAUAUGGGUUUAUCCGUGCCUCCAUCAACAACUAUCAUAAACUGGUAAAGAAGUUAGUACACCAAUUCCUCGCCACAGAAAGAUGUCCACCACACGCCUAUUUAACAUAUGUCAGGGUCCAUCAAAGUCUCUGAGGGGCUACUUCUACUGCUUUAACGAGGCCACCAUCAAGGUCGUCCCACCUAACCAAAAAUGUUUAUGGUGGCAUUCCAAAAUAGAGUUGAGGCAUAACAAUUUAACGAGUCCCUCCCCCAUAAGCCAACAUUUUAGUUGGCAGAAGUGGUCACUAGAGUAGAGUCCUACAUAAAGGGUGAUGAGAAUAACAAUGAAAAAAAGGCGCACGAUGUCAAAGAGCACGUUCCCAAGGUCGGUGGCUCACAUCACCAGAGGAAGAGAAAUUAUACCUCAACCAUAAGCCAACAUUUUAGUUGGCAGAAGUGGUCACUAGAGUAGAGUCCUACAUAAAGGGUGAUGAGAAUAACAAUGAAAAAAAGGCGCACGAUGUCAAAGAGCACGUUCCCAAGGUCGGUGGCCCACAUCACCAGAGAAAGAGCAACUAUACCUCACCCAAAAAGGACCAUACUACAUUCAAAAGGGUAGGUAAGGUGGCAGAGAACUUCAAACCCUUGAACACUCACCACGAGCUAAUCUGGUACGAGGUUCUCCACCUUCACAACAUCCCUCUGGCGCCUACUCCUAAGACAAAUGUGAUGGGUUCUGAAUUGUUUAGGUGGUGCAAGUUCUAUAUUAUCAAGGGACACCACACCGAAGAUUUCUACUAACUCAAAUAGGAAAUCACUAGAUUAAUACAUGAGGGAAACCUCAAGAAAUAUGUGAGGCGCAACUCCCCCCAUUCGGAAAAUAAGUAUAACCCGCGAAGGCGAGACGAUGUUGGAAGCCCUAGACCCAAAAAAUCCCAAGAUGAUCUUUAAGAAGUAGGUAGUAAAAAUGCGUACCACACACUUAACACCGUAGCUUAAGGAUUAGCCAGGGCAGGGAAACCAACUCCGCCCAAAGCAGGUAUGCUCGCCAGAUCCUGAGUAUGGAAAACCUCCUUAAAGUUAAGACCGAAAGCAAGCGCCAAAUUCACAAGCCAUGAUCGCCUUCUCGGGGAAAGAUGCAGUUGUCAUCCAUCCUCUUAACUAUGACCCCGUGGUCAUUACCGUUAAGUGCGAAAGUUAGGGAAUUAAAAGAGAUAACAUGUACGUGUACGUGUAAAUGGGCAUAUCACCUUGAGGAUCACUUUUAGAUAGCAGGAAAAAGAGAUAAAAGUCAAAUAUCUGGUUAGUGAUGCCCCUUCUUCGUAUAAUAUGAUUAUAGGGCGACCGACCUUUAACCUGCUGGGCGACACCUUGUGAAAUAUGUAUUUGUGCAUGUCUCGAAUAGUUCUUUAUAGAAAAUAUUUGUUUGUUGGUUGAUUUUAGAGAAUAAUGUUUAGGUCGCAUUCAAGCGGUUUAACAUCUACUUGUAUGCUCGCACUAUGGAGGCUGGAUCAUCUGUUUAUAAUUCGUGUAGCAAUGGAUAAAACACUAUUCUUUUAUGAAAAAGUUUAUUUUGAUUGCAUCAGAGUAAAAAGUUAGUUUGGUGAGCUGAGAUUGAUUUUAGGUGGAAGACGAGUAACUGGUUCCAGCAAAGUGUACACUAAGCCUCCGAUACUCGAGAAACAAACAAAAAUACAUUCACCUGCUCCCUUUCUAAUCCAAGUUAAUUUAUAUAUAUUUUUUUAAGUUAACUAAUUACGUUCAUUAUAAUUGAUUCAGUUUUGAAAAUGGAUUUGAUGUAGGUUAACUUGUAAACAUGAUGAUUUAAUUGAAAAUAAUUUGAUUUUUCUUAUUUAUUGUGACAACUAUUCAAUUUGAUUUUUUAUGGAGAAUAAAAAUAGAUUUUUGAUUAUUAGCAUUCACAAUGUUCAUAAAAAUCCUGAAAUCAUCAAUUUAAUUAAUUAUAAAAAAAACAAAUAGCAAAAAUUUAAAACAAGAAAAGGGUGCAAACAAAGGUAGUAAAUUAAAACAAUGGUAUUGAAGUCAAAAAAUACAAAAAAAAGGGAAAGAAAUAAAGGGGGCGUGUGGUAAAAGAGGAGAAUGCCUAAUUGAGAGGGGCCCAAAGCUGGUCAAUAGGGGAAAGGGAGUUGACUUCGUGUGGGCCGCCUGAUUGCAUCAAGCGACCAUGAUGCGUUGUGCAUGAUAAGGCUAGUGAAUGGGGUAGUGUAGGAUCAUGGGAAAGAGAAAAGGAGGGAUCACGCCAUGUGGCGCAUUAUCUGCCACAUAAACUAGUCAAUAGUCAACUACAACAAACGGCCCAGAUUAAUUAUGAAUUUAAGCUUCUUCUUCCCCACUCAUGCAAGGCCAAUUGCACAAUAACAACAUCAAUGACUACUUUUUCUUUGAAAAUCACCUAAUAUGCAUAUAAUUUAACAAAUAAAUAUGCAAAAUUCAUCUAUGAAUCGUCAUGAACAUGAAUCCAUGAUCAAAGUGUAUUAAUUAACAACAAAAAAUGGUGAGAAUUAGGAUUUAAAGUAAACCUGAAUUUGAUUGAGUGGCUCGAUCCGGCCAUAACUUGAUGUUUUGAAUCACUUUGCAUUUUUUCUUCAAACGGUUGAUUUUUUAAUUUUCCGGGUUUUUGUUCUUGAAUGUUCAUGAACACUCAUGAACAUCAAUAACACUAAGAACACCAAUUUUUCAGAAAUUCAUAUUUCAAUUUAUUUUGAACAAAUGAUUAAAGGAUAUAAAACAUAGUAAGUGUAGAAACAAUUUUAUGUAAAAAAAAUCACACAAAAUACAAUGGUCAAGCCUUACCUAAGCGAAAAAACCUCAAGAAUGCGAUGAACACUGAUGAGCAACCCAAAUUCCGAUCAAGCUCCAAUAUUGCUCCAUCUAAACUCGUUUUUCAUGUCUCUUUGUAGAUCUAAACACCUAUUUAUCUUCUAUACCUCAUUCCAUCAUAAUUUCACAAUUUCUACAUUUUUUUUCAAAAUCGAGUUCAAAAUGGAUUUGCGCGAAUUUGAGUUUUGGUGUAGUUGUGUGUAGUUUUUUUUUGUCUAUACUAUGUAAUUGGACUCAUAUUUAUAAUAAUUUUCAUGUUAACAUAAAAGGAAAACAAGUCAUAGUGACAAAUCGCGACCAAUUAAAAACAAGCAUGACAAAUUGCGACCAAUUAGAAACAAGUAUGACACAUUGCAACCCUUUGAACAUGUAUGAUCAAAGAUCGUCGUCAACCUGAAAGAUCGGUGCUUAGAUCAAAGAUAAAAAUAUCUUCGUCAACCCGAAGGUCGAUGCUUACAUCAAGGAUAAAAAGAUCGUUGUCAACUCGAAGGUUGAUGCUUAGAUCAAGGAUAAAAAUAUCGUUGUUAACCCGAAGGUCGAUGCUUAGAUCAAGGAUAAAAAGAUCGACGUCAACCCGAAAGUCGAUGCUUAGAUCAAGGAUAAAAAGGUUGUUGUCAACCCAGAGGUUGAUGCUUAUAUCAAAGUUAAAAAGAUCAUCGUCAACCCGAAAGUUGAUGCUUAGAUCAAACAUGAAAAGAUCAUCGUUAACUUAGAAGCUUGAUGCUAAAAUCGUGGGAUAGGUCGUCGCCAACUCAAGGGUCAGCGCUUGGACCUACAAAUGAGAAAAGAUCACCGUCAACCCAAAGGUCGAUGCUUAGAUCAAAUAGGAAAGGAUCAUCGUUAAUAUGAAGAUUAAUACUUAGAUCAACAUAGGACAAGUUUGUCAUCAACCCGAAGCUCGACGUUUAGAUCACGGUAAAGUGAUCAUCGUCAAUCCGAAGAUUGAUGCUUAGAUCAAGGUGAGAUAAAUCAUCACCAACCAAAGGGUCAGUGCUUAGAUCGCACAUGAUAAGAUCAUCAUUAACAUGGAGGUUGAUGAUGCCUUAGAUCAUUACAGGACAAGAUCGUCGUCAACCCGAAAGUCAAUGCUUAGAUGAAGACAAACUGAUCAUCGUCAACCCAAAGGUCGAUGCUUAGAUCAAGGAUAAGAUCUAAGAAUGAUGAUUAGAUUAACAGAUAGAUCAUGGCCAACCCAAAGGUUAAUCCUUAGAUCAAACAAGAAAAUAUCUUCGUCAACUUGAGAGACCACACAAAUUCAAAUCAGUCGGAAAUUCAAGUGGAAGCAGUUGAGAAAGUUACGAUUGGUACAAGCACGAAAGAAAGUUUUUCUGUCAACUAGUGCAAUAUUGAAACCACACCACCAAAACUAGAUAAUAUUGAGAGACUAUCAAUUAUAUUCGAAAGUAUUCCAAACCCGUUCCUGGAUAUUACAUUAAGUCAUGAUCCAAGUCAAUUAUUUGUACUUUCUAAGGAUUCAAAUAAUGAAGAUUUGAAGGGACAUGAGUACCUAGACAAUUCCAUAUUACAAAUUUGGUGUUCGUAAGUAUAGCUUUUAUGUUGAUUUUUAUUUAUAUUCAUAAGUUCUUGUACAUUAACAUAAAGAUUUGACUCUUGCAGGUUCAUGCAUGAGUUCUGUGUUGAAAGUAAUACAAAUAAGUAGUAUUUCUUAGAUCCAUCGCGGCUUGGUCUUACUCACGGUUCGACAGGAAACAAUAUCUUUGUUUACAUACAAGAAAAGUUGAAAGAGAACAAAGAGUAUUAUUUGGUCCGUUUUUACUGUGAGUAAGUAUAUAUUAAUUUGUAUUUUCCUUUAUAAAUCAAAUUUAUACAUAUUAUUAAUUAUUCUGAAUUUUUAUGCAUUGAACAUUGACAACUAAUUGUUAUAUGUCCGAGGAAAAAUGUUAUAAUUGUGUUUUGCUCGUUGCGCUUUGUGCUGCCUAAAGUUGUGGUUAACACUUUGAAUGCGUAAGUGGUAUUAUUCUUAAUAUUCAAAUUUUAAUUUUAGAUUUGAAUAGUUUCUAUUCAUUUUUAAUUUUAACCAACAUGUGUAGAAUGAUUGAAGAACAUAAUGCAAUCAAACAAAAUUUACUUGGUUAAAAGCCAAACUAUGGAUAUCCAAAAGUAAGUAUACUACUUGUGCUUUUUGACUGUAUUAUUUGUGUGUAUUAGUGGUAUAAAUAUAUGAAAUUAUUCGUAGUGACGAAAACAACCCAACAACUAUUCUUGGGGAUACUAUGUUAUAAGAUAUAGACAUUACAAAUGGAUGGAUGAAGCACCAGGUAUACAUAUAUAUACACAUAUUUAUAUUUCUUAAGUUAAUGUUGUUGUUGUUAGCUUAUCGUAGUUUAAAGUUUGUUUUAAUUAUGAGUUUAAUGACAGAACACCAUACUCAAAAGAAGAUAUAAAUGACAUCCGAUCACAUUGGAUCAUUGCCUUCUAUUCAUUUUUUUUUGAAUCUUGACAACAAUAAUUUUUCUUGGUUGUUAUAAUAUUAAUUUGUAUAUGUACAUAGGUUUUGUCAUUUUUAUAUGCAAAUAUGUAAAUGUGUGUAUUUUGUAUUGAUGAGAAUAAUGUAAAUGUGUACAUUUGGUUUUGAAAGCAAUGAUAAUUUAUUAUUAUGUAUUUAAAAGAUUUAAAAUGAUAUGAUAUAUUUCAAUUUUGUCAUAUAUUUUGUAAUUUCUAUAUAAGAAAUGAUACAGGUCAGUGAAAAUAAGAUUUACAACAAUGUAAAUUUGAUAUUAUGUGUUUACAGGCUAAUGAAAAUAAGAUUUAUAAUGAUAUGAUACAAACUAGUGAAAAUAAAAUUUAUAAUGAUAUGAUACAAGCCAGUGAAAAUGAGAUUUAAAACAAAUUAUAUAUGAAAAUAAAUAAGAUUUAACCCCUCGAUUAUCACCUAAAAUCAAAGUAAAAGUAUACCUUAUUACCUCAAUUUUAAAUAAAACCGAGAGGUAUAUGACACACGCAACAAAAUUUGGAAAAUAAAAAUAUGUUAUUGCUAGGGAUCGAACCAAUGACCAUUUACUUUCUAAAAUCGAGGAAAAAAUGGCAAGUUAUCAUGUCACCCUUCGUUACCUCGUAUGUGUAAUCGAGAUAAAAGUCAUUUCGCGACAGAGAUAAGAUGUGUUAUUUAUAAUAGUGUUAUCAAUUGGAUAUGGCAAGAUCACGGGAAAGAGAAAAGGGGGACAACUACAUGUGACACGAGAUCUGACACAGAAACUAGUCAACAAACAACUGCAACGAAUGGUCCUGAUUACUUUUGGAUUUAAGCUUCUUUUUCCCUACUCAUGCAAGACCAAUUGCACAACAACAACAAUGAUUAUUUUUUCUUGGAAAAUCACCAAAUAUGCAUGGAAUUGACAAAUAAAUAUGCAAAAUUCAUCUACGAAUCAUCACGAACAUGAAUCUAUGAUCAAAGUGUAUCAAUUAACAAUAAAAAAUGACAAAAAUUAGAAUUUAAAAUGAAUUCAAAUUUGACUUUGAGGGACUCAAUCCGGCCAUAACUUAGUGUUUUAGACCAAAAAUAAUAAUUAAUUUAAAAAUAUAUACAUAAUACCAUAAUGUAUAAGAUUUGUCUAAACAUACCAUUUAUAAUAAGCAGAGAUUUAUGAUUGAUAUUAGCUAUAAUUAGCUUUAACAUUACACAAGACAACCAAACACAAAGCAACUAUAGCCACUUUAUUUUAUUUUAAAAAAGCAAACAUAUAUGAUAUGCUUUUUCUACAUCAUAUCAUUACAUAUAUUGCCUCCAAUAUCUCUGCUUCAAACUUUCAUAUUCAUUUGCAGUUGCAAGGGUCACAAGUGCAGCUAUCUCCACACUUGCAGCCACCAUCCUCAGCUGCAACACUCAUUUCAGCACCAUCAAACUGGAUCUUCGCCGGACCGACGCCAAGAAUCACGGUCUCUGUGGUUUCCAUUUCGGAGUAGCUCAAUCCACUAGACCUCUUGCUGCAUCUGCACAGCAAUAAAAAUCAAUUAUACAUAUUAAUAUAUGUUUUUAAUUUAUGGACGGCUAAAGGGAAACCUUAUCUUAUUUUAAUACCAUCAAAAAGCUUUUUAAGAUAUUCAAGUGACAAUUGAUUCAAUAUUGGCCAUCAAUUCAUAGUCUUUAGACAGUUAAAAUCUGAAAGAGAAAAAUCUAUGGAGAGAAUUAAAGACAAAAACUUUUGUUUUCUUCUUUUGAGGCAGCUAAUAAAAGACAUAACUCUUUACAAAGUAUCUACUUUUCUUGAGUAGUGAUAAAUCUUUUCAAAAUAUUCUAUAUUUUUGACAAAUAACCAAUAAGAUUGUUGGGUUUAUAUUUUAAUUUAAAACUUCUUAAUUUUAAAAAGUAAAAAUUUAUUUUAGAUUUAAAUUGUCUAAUCCCAAUAAUCAAAUUUCUUAAAACAUUUCAUGUCAAUAAAUCUGAUUUUUAAAUUUUUAAAUGAAUUUAUUUUAAAUUUAAAUUGUUUAAUAAAUUUAAAAAAUCUGAAUUAUAAAAAUCAGGUUAAUCAAUUAUUCAGUAAAUAUGAACUUUAUUUUAAUUUUUGUUUAGAAUAAUAAUAAGAAUGAGGAUAGUCAAAAGUAACCAUAAAAAAUGGAAGUAUCUAAUUUCAUAAAACCCAACCAAAAAGUACUUAAAAAAUACAAUAUUAUAUUAACAAAUAUAUGUAAGAUUCAUUCAUAAGAUAAACAAUAAACUCGAAAGAAUUAAGGUGGUGAAUCCUUACUUGCAGCUAUCACCACAGUUGCAACUGCUUCCACAACCACAGCUAGACAUAUUUUCAGAAACUAAGAUUUUUAAUGGUGCUGUUAUCUUCACUACAAUUGAUGUCUUUUAAUGGUGCUGCGUGCCCUCAAUUUAUAAGGUGGGAGAGAAUAAUUUGUGAAAUCUUGACCGUCCACGUGUUGUAAUCUUGUGUUACUUGGGCCCACAAGGCUACCCUUGGAUUAUUUCCACGUAGACAUCGUUUUCAUUGCACGUCUUAUUGUGGGGUUGGCGAUUAAAUUGUUGCAUGCUUUGCUUCAAGUCAAAUGUGAUUAGUGUCUUAAUUGGUUUGCACAAAAAUUGAUUUUGAAUUUAUUUUAAGAAAUUUAUUGCACUGAAAUAUUAAGUUUAAAGGUGGGUUAGAAUUCGUGGUUUCAAGGAAAGACUAUUUUAGAGAUAAAGUUAAGGCCUCUUUUGUUUUGGUUUCUUUAAAUGAUUUUUUUAAUGUUAUAUAAUUUUGAUAACAAAAAUUUAUAAAAAAUGUAUGAUGUUAUUGUCAUAUUGUAUAAAAUUAAGAGCUUUUUUUUGAAAUUGUAUAAUGUACUAAAUUCUAAAAAGAUUUAUCUAAGAUAUACAAUAUACACAUUGUAUUUUUUUUCCAAUUCUCUUUGUCUCCUCCAUUUAUCAUCUCAUUUGUUUUUAUCAUCAUCACAAUAAUCACUUUCUUUUAUUUAUUGUGCUUUUGAUAAUUAUUUUUUAAAAUUUUACUUUACUUUUAUUAGUAACAUGUGGUUAUAUUUUCGUGACAAGUGUGAAUGAAAUUGAUAUCAAUAGAUUUGCAACACUCGCACAUAAUCAUCCACAUACAAUGGACAAAAGUGGUAUCGUGGUAUUAAAUUGACGGAAUAGCUUUUUUAAGGAUAGAUGGAGAUAAAUACUAAAUAUGGUUGUUUUGUUUGUUGCUUAUGUAUUGUGUCAUUACAUCAUAUUUGUACAAGGGCAUGCAUGGUAGCAACAACUUCUGAUGAAUUUUUUUAUAAAAAAAAAUUAGCAACCGCAAGUGCUUUUGUAUUUUUUUUGAUAUUGAUGCAAAAUAUAUAUGAAAAAAAAUAAUGAAAUACUAGUGUCAUAGUUUUGAUCAAAAUGUGUAAAUUUUUUUUUUAAAAUUGAUCUCUGUGGAUCUCCACGGGGAUCUGUGGGGAUGAAGAUGCAAAAAAAUAUUCUCCUAUGACGGGGAUCGAGGACGAGAAUGGAGAAUAAAUUGGGAGGCGGGUGGGGAGAUGGAAAUCAUCCUCCAAACAUUCUCUACCCGUUGACAUUCCUAAUUAAAAUUUUCCAAGGUCGAAUUCAAGACCCCGUACCUUUAUGGUUGUGCGAAUGAAAUUUUAAUAAUUAUUAUGUUUAAGAUAUUAAACUUGUAUCAAUGAAUUUUUUAAAUAAUUACUCAUUCCGUUCCUUUUUAAGUGUCACUUGAAAAAAAAAUUGUUCCAUUUUAAAUGUCACUUACAAAGUUCAAGGUAGUAUUAACUGUAUUUUUGUCAAAAUUACUCCUACGUAAUUAUUACAGAGAGAAAAAGUAAAAUGAAUGUAAUAAAUAAUUAAGGGUAUUAUAGGUAAAAGAAUAAUUAUUGUUUGAAAAAUAUCAAUAAUGAUUAACUUUCUUGAUAUGUGUAAAAAGUUAAAAAAUGACACUUAAAAAGAAACAGAGAGAGUAUUGUUAAUUUGUCUACAAAUAAAAUAAAAUAAAAUUCAAACAUACCUCCAUCAAUUUAAAUGCUUUUAUUUUGGAUUAAAAACAAGCAAUGUUCAUUCAUUUAAAUUGAUCGAAUAUACUUAAUAAAAAUAAUACAAAUUCUAUUAAAAACGAAAAGAUUAAAAGUGCGAACAAACUCACAUAAUCUAAGUUAAUAGCAUAAAAUAACAAAUUGUGUACAUACAUGACUCGUGUUCUACAAUGUUGAAGAUGGAGGGAUAUUGCUACAAAAUACGUUGCGAAAAACAAUUUUUUUAAGUCGAUCCUUACGAAAGAACUUGAUCAAUAAUAAGAUGAUUACCUCUUGUGGUGAUUUUCUAUUGAUGCAAAAUAUAAAGAGAGAUCUUGAGCAUUGGACUAACGACAACACCUCUAUUCAGUCCACAAAAUAUAAUGUUUUCAAUCUCUGUGCUAGCUGAUCUGAAUGAAGAGAGAGAGAGAGAGAGAGAGAGAGAGAGAGAGAGAGAGAGGAGAGAGAGAGAGAGAGAGAGGAAGAGAGAGUCCAAGAUUAGAGAGAGAGAGAGAGAGAGAGAGAGAGAGAGUCCAAGAUUCUUAAGUGUUAGAUUUUUACAAAUUAAAUUUUGUCAAGCAUGAAUACUUCAACACAAAUGUUCUAUUCAUAGAACCGCUUGUGUGGACUGCAAGCUUAACAAGUCCACUUAAGCAUACCGUACCUUAUAAUGUACCGUAUUUCACAUAGUACCUUAAGAUGUUAUAUAUUCCAUUUAAAUACAUCAUAUAUUACAAUGUUAUGUAUUUUACUUAAGCAUAACAUAGCUUACGAUGUUCCGUGUUCUACUUAAAUAUACCAUACCUUAGGAUGUUUUGUAUUUCACUUAAGCAUAGUGUACCUUACAAUGUUCCACAUUUCUCUAAUUAACACUUGUGAAUUAUAAGACAACAAAAUCAAAUAGGAUUCACUUAUUUAUUUUAUCUCUCAUAAUCUGUUCUUAUGCGAGUGACCCUAUAUGUCUCGUAACAUUAAUAGUUAUAUUAAAUCACACAUUUAAUAUAAUAAAUAACGAGCAAUAUUUAGAUACACACCACUACUACCAAAAUAACAAAUAAUGUCAUGUGAUAUGAUGAAACAUUUCCAUGAUAUUAUUUAUGGAUAAAAUUACCUUUUUUUUUAUCUUAUGUAUAUAUUGAACACAAGACAUAGAUUGUGUCACCGUUGCCUAAUUCAAUAUUGAGCCUAAAGACAUUUAUCUUGUUAUACGUGACAUGAAAAUUAAAUCUAGGUCACUCACGUCCAUUAACAUAUUUUAUGGAGUACCUAUCAACACUAUCUUUAUGGUUAUCGUAUUACGGAUAUCGUUUGAAUGAUAAUGAAGUAUUUGACUCCACAUUCACAGACCAUGGUAAAUUCAGAUUGAAAGGUGGUAUACACCAUUAUCCCAAAGAGAAUAACUUAUGACACUUGCAUAAUAUUUUAUUUAGUAUUCUCAUUGUAAAUAAGUCUUAUAUAAAUAUUACUCAUAAUAUUUAGACAUAUGUGAAAAUUUGAUAACUCUCUAUCUAUGAUCCAUGAGACAUGAUCAUCAAUUUAUCCACAUAAUAAUCUUAAUACUUUAAUGUUAUCCCACUUUACAAUAAACUUGAUUGUAGAUACUUUAAGAAUAAUACCUUUAUGUUUCAUGAUGUCUCAUGAUUAAGUAACACUUAAUAUUUCUUCAAAUCGACUAACUACUCUAAGUACUUUAUUACUUUAAAAAACAAACAUAAUAAACUUAUUAUUAUUAUUAUUAUUAUUAGAGUUGAAUAUGUUUGUAGUCCGCCUAAAUAUCUCAAUCUUCAAUUUAAUCUCUCAAAAAUUUUAUUUAAAGAAUGAUCCUGUUAAUACUUUUCAUCCACGCUUUUGGUCUCUCCUGCUAAAGUUUAUUAAAAGAAACUGACAUGGCAUGUUAUAUGAAAAAAUUUAUGAUUGGCCAAACAUGUGGUAAUGCCAGCGUGGUAAGAUGCUUACAUGGAUGCCACGUGCCUUUUGUCACCCAUUUUAUAAUUUUUAUAUUAAUAAAAUUUCUAGUGAUAUAAUUUUUUUCCGCUAAAUUCGCCGCUAACAUGAGCAUCAUACCAAAACCCAAAAACCGUAGUUAAUAUGUGGCUAAUCCGCAACUAAUCCUUAGCUAAUUCAAAUACAUCAUUCUUAUGACCUAAACUUCAUUUUUUUAAUGAUUUUUGACAUUAAAGUUUAUCAAAUCAUAAGGAUCUCUCUAACAAUUUAUUUUUUGACUUGAGAUGAAUCAAAUAUAAAUUAUUUAACUGUCGAUUUUCCAUGAAACGAAAACAAUGCAAACAUUUGAAUAUGAUUCAACUUUAAAGGAUCUGCAAAGUUUCAUGGUAUUUUAAAUAAGUUUCGAUUUACUUUUAUUUUCCGAUCGAAACACGUAUAAAUGUGUUUUUUUCAAGAGACAAAACAACAUAUUUAACCCUAUCAGUGGUAAAAAGGGUGACAUAAUUUAAUUAUUGUCAUGAUCUUUUUUGCAUGUUAGUGUAUACUAUUACAAGGAUCUCUCUCACAAAAAUUGAAUUUUGUUUGAUGUGAGAGUAAUUAAAUAAGUUUUUUUUUUAAUUGCCGAUUUUUCAUGAAACACAACUAACGCAAACUUUUUCAUAUGAUUGAAUUUUGAGCUAAAAUUUUGUAGAACUUACUACAUAACACAUAAAAAUGAUUUGAAGAUUUUUUGUGGAAUUUUGAUUGAUUUUAGCUUAUUUUGAUUUAUUUUCGCCUCUUGAAAAAACACAUUUAUAUGUGUCUCGAUCGAAUAAUCAAAAUAAAUCGAGAAUUAUUCAUAAUGUAAUGAAACUUUUUAGAUCAUUUUUAUAUAUUUUGAGAUAAGUCCCUGCAAAAGAAUAGUUUAAAAUUCAAUCAUAAUUCAACUUUUACCUUGUUUUCGUUUCAUAGAAAAUCGGUGCUUAAAAAAAUUCAUAUUUGAUUAAUUUCAAAUAAAAUAAAUUAAACUUUUAUGACAAAUGUUUAUAAUGUGAUAAACUUCCAUGCAAAAGAUCAUUAAAAAAAACAAAGUCUAGGUCAAAAGAAUGUUGUAUUUGAGUUAAUUAGAAAUUAGCUACGGAUUAACUACAAAUUAGCUGUAGUUUCUGAAUUUCGGUAUGAUGUUCACGUUAACGACAAAGUUUCUAUCGCAACAAAUUUUAUUAAUAUAAAUAAGAUAAAUUAGUGACAAAAUGCCAUGUGUCAUCCAUGUUAGCAUCUUUGUCACACUGACAUUGUCACGUGUAUGCUUUGAAAUGAAAAGUUUUCAUUGUCAUGCCACACCAGCAUCUGUUAACAAACGUUAGUUAGAGAGACCAAAAGUAUGGAUGAAAAAUAUUAUAAAGACCGUUUUUUGAAAAGAAAAAUUUGAGAGAUUAAAAGUGAAGAUUGAAAUGUUUAGGAGGACUACAAACAUGUUUAAAUCUUAUUAUUAAUAGAUAAUUCGAUAAAAUAUCAAGAUGUAAUAAAAUUAUAAGUCUCUAGAACUUACACCAAUAAAAAACGUCAAAAUCAUUGAUGGAAUAAGCCCUUAAUUAGAAUCAAAUGAACACUACGACAAAACUACUAAGAAAAAAUGCAGCACAAAAUUGUAAUAAAUUAACAAAAUUCCAUACAAAAAUUUAAAUAAUAAUAAUAAUAAUAAUAAUUUAUUUAAAUAAAAACCAAUCAAGAUUAAGGUGUUUUACUGACCCUAAAUUACCUCUCUUUUAUAGAUGACAAAGAAGACAAAACAAAACCUUUUUUUAAAGAGACUAAUAAAUCUAUUUUAUCCUAUUUAUUUAAAUACUUCAUUCCUAUGUUUUAUUUAAAUACUACAUUCAUAUGUUUCUCCGCUCAUAGAUGAUACUUUGUUUGGAUAGAUAAAUAUUUUAAUAUGGAUAAGGAUGAAUGGAUUUGUAAAAAAAUAAAUAAUAGUCUUUGUCAUGAUAUUUGAUGUUCUAUAUAAUUUAUUUGAGGAAAGAUCUAAACAUGCAAGAUGGGGAUUUAAGUUGCGUUUAGUUAAAAAAAAAAAAACUUAACUAAAUCGUUUCUCUAAUGGGAGAGCUACCUCUUGUCUCUCUACAACCCUCGAAUUUCACCUUUAUGCAUAAAGAAUCUAGUCCACUAUAACCAAACAUGAAUGCAAGUAUUCUAUACGCCUCUUCAAGGUCUAUGUAUUCUUUAACUAAACUUAUCAUGGAUUCUUUCAACAAAAUAAUAAUGGUUAACAUGUAUUCUUUCACCAAAAUAAUAAUGGUCAUUUUGUCAACCUUAAUAAUAUUUUAUUUUUAUUCUUGAGUUUUUUUUAUUAAAAUAUUUUUCAUUACGAUUUAUAAUAAUAAUUGUGACAAUAGAUUAAAGAUUAUGAAAUUUGAAUUCCAUCAUCAAUAUUUUUUAUUUAUUUUUUUUAUAUAAAAAAAGCAUGUGUCCCUUGACUUAUAUACUUAUAUUAUUAAAUAAAAAUUAAAAAAUAAUUAAUUACAGUUAUUUUAUCAACUUAUAUGUUUCAUAUUUCACUAUGAUUGAUAUUAACAACUAUGGUGAAAUUCUUUAUUGCAAAAUUAAAAUAUAACAUGUUCUUCAUUUUCUUCAUAACACAUGUCCUAACGAUCCAGACGACAGCGACAACAAAAUCUUCAGCAUCUUCAUUUAUUUGGAACAUCCAGUCUUCACUCUCUUCAUUCAUUAUUGAUUGAUCCCUCGUAAGAAUUCACAUCCUAGAUCCAAAAUAUUUCAAGGAAUGUUAAUUCUUCAAAAGCUUAGAAGAACUCAACCUAUCCACCUUCCUCUGUAUCCCCUCCAAGAAGGUAUGUUCAUCCUUAGUCAAGAUGUUCUACUCAAAUCUUCACAUCAUAGAUGGAAUACCUUAAAUUGAAGUAAAGAAGGCAUAUAAUAACUCUAUCAGUAGAAGAAUUUGGAAAUAUUCUAAAUAUCCAUAAUGAAGAUCCCAUUGUCGAACUCGGAGACAAAGCAGAAAAGUACAACCACCAGCUCACUGCAUCCUCUGUUAUGAAGGAUCCAUCACCCAACAUGCCAAAUCCCUUCACUGCUGGAUAUAUCCACCUUGAAAGUCAUAUGAUUCACUAUGUGAUCAAUCUCAUACUCUUUUCAAGAAAAAGCAACUUCAUCCUCAUAACCCAAGUUGAUGUAGAAACAAUAUCGUUAAUAGAACACAAAAUCAAGGUGAAAUUGGCAAAACACAUGAACGAGUAAAUGAUGGAAAACAUGAAAGAAGGAGUAUAACUGCCAUAUGAAAAUCUGAUCACAAAGAUUUUGAAAGAUACUGGAUAUGAUUUCAAAGAUGAAGAGUUCAAGGAAGAAAGAACUAAAAUAGGAUAAUUAGUCCUACCAUCAAUGAAGUUUGAGAUGAUCAAUGGAAAAGUAAUUGAAAAUCCCCUCUCAAACAAGAAGAAAAUAAAAGCAAAUAGUCAAGAAGCACCCAUAGAGUUAGAUGACUUCGACUACUCUAUUCCUCAACUGCCCAUAAUAAUAAUAUCCUCAAAUUCAUAAUUGGAAAGAUAAUUGUGAUUAAUGACAAAAUUGACUUUCAUAACCCAACCAUUUAUCCCAGACCAAGCACAACUACCUAAAGGCCUUUUUCUUUGAUGAUUUUAACACAUAAUAGUCUCACUUAUGCGUUUGAACUCAUGCUCUCUAUAACUCUUAAAUUCAACAAUUUCUUUUCUUGUACUCUGAAUUCAUAGUAAUUUCUAUUAACAAAACAAGUUUUUCCUUUACUAAAUGUUUAUUUACCUAUGUUUUUAUAUUUAAAUUCAUCUUAGUGUAUAUUUAUCUGUCUUUUUUAUUUCUACAAAGGGGAAGAAGUGUACUCUCAGGGGGAGUAGAGUAUACUCUUUACCUAAUUGAGGGGGAGUUUGAUUACUCCAAAUAUUUAUUGUUGUUUAUAUUACACUACGCCAAAAACUGGAAUAGACAGCGCACCUUAGAGGGCGCUUUAUUACAAAAGCGCACUCUAAAGUGAAGCGAAAAAAUAAGGAGCGAACAAUUGGAAUAGACAGCGCACUUUAGAGGCGCUUUUUGUAAUCAAAGCGCCUCUCAGAGAGUGAAGCGAAAAAAAAUAAGAGAGGCAGAUAGAGGGAAACCAAUACAAGGCGCUUUUUAAAACGCCUCUAAGGUUACCCUUAGAGGGCGCGUUGUUGAAAAAGCGCUCUACUACAGUCCAUGUUGCAUUUCCAGUUUAAUAAAGCGCACUUAUUCGAAAGCCUUAGAGAGCGCUUUCAUAACGCGCCCCUUAGGCCCCUUAUUAGAGGCCUUUUUUUUCCACAAGCUCACUCUAAGGUCCCUUUAGUAAAACAUAAAAUAUAACAUUACUGCCGCCUCUGUUGUUACAUUCACACUCUCUGUUAUUUUCGUGUAAUAUCCUUUUCAACGUUAGCGUCUUUCAACUGCUACUAUAUUCGCUACUUUCUAAGGCGUUCUCCUUCCAGAAUAAGAAAUAAAGUUCCUCUGUUAGAUUCUACCGACGUUUCCUCCCUUCUUUUAAUCGUUGUUAGCUGUUCGUCUUUGACACAUAAAGGUUUUUCCUGUUCUUUCGGAUUUAGACGCUAUUUUCGAGUGAUGUAGCAAUUUUGGAUCCGGGUGUUGUUCAGGUUCGCCCGAAAGGAAACUCAAUUUGUAACGUUCCAGAAAUUAUAGACAUACUGGAAAAAUUUAUGUCAUUUAGGUUCUUGCUCGAUUUUAACUUGUGGUAGAGACAAUCUGGUCGCACUUUUACUUAUUGUGAGUCUGGCUUUUUUCGAUUAAUUUUGCAUUCACUUACUAUUUGUUGGGGGUAAUAAGAAUUAAUCCCUACUCCUUGCGGUUUUCUUCAUCUGGCAAUGGCUUUGGUCUUUUUGGUUGUUUCGAUAUCAUUUCUACUUGAAGGUAAUAAUAAUUUUUUGUUUGUUAUAUUUUUUGAACAUUUUUUUUUGUUUAUUUUUAUAUAUACAUAAAUCAUUAACUAGAUAUUACACAUGCAUUCAGCAUAAAUGUUCAGAACCAAUUUUUGUAACACAGAUUCACAGGAUUAUAUUAAUCAGUAAAUUCUUCUUUAUAUUUUGGUUUUUAUAUGGAUAAUAUAUUUAUGUUGACUUGCUCCAGGAUAUAUAUCACCCCAGAUUCUGAUGUUAUAUGCGACAUUGAGCCUCGUUCCGGUGCUGCGAAGCUUUGUGUUGUAAACAUACUAACUUUAAUUACACAAAUGGAUCGUUCUAUUGUUUGUUUCCCUAUAUUCAUUAUUAUAAAACUUUCAAUUCUUUCAGGUCAGGUUAUGCAUUCUCUCUGGGAUUAGGAGCAAUGCCAUGGAUAUAAAGUCUGAGGUACAAUUUUCUUCAAAUAAAAUAUGCAUCGACAACGCCUAAUGAACAAAACCUUGUGUAAUAUAAUGUGAUAGUUGAUGUGUUAAUAUAAUUUUACAUAUAUAGAUUCUUCCGAUUAACAUCAAAGGCCUAGCUGGAAGUUUGCAAACACUUGCCAAUGGUUCUUAUUCCUGGCUUGGUUACAUUAACACGCAAAUUUGCUCUUGGAUUGGACUUCGGGAGGUUUGUGUGCAUUGCCUAUGUUAAUUUUCUAUAAAUAUCAUUGUUUCUAACCAGAAGCUUCCUAUGUUUCAUCAGGAACCUUCACGAUAUAUACUAUCAGUGUGUGUUUUCACAGCAGGAUUUGUUGCCAUUUGGGUCCCCGAGACAAAGGGAAAAAACUCUUGAAGAAAUACAACAGUUUUUCAGAUGAAGUUUCCUUUCGAGUAGCACUCAGCUAGUGUUCACUCAUGUAUCUCACAUUCAUAUUUUUUCUGAAUCAAACUCAAUUCAUUUUUGUGCUCUUUGGUCUUGUUAAACAUAUGAAAAAUACCAAACAGUGUGAUUUUCUAAUCUAGCAGCAUACUUGCAUUUUGUUGUUGAAUUGAUUGAUUAUAAACAAAUAAAUGAAAGAGAAGUGGUUAUUAUACAUUUCAAUUACGAGUAGCAGUGGUUUCGGUUCAUGACAUUUCAAAUAGCAAGAGGAUCAUAUAAUACAAUAAGCAUUAUCAGUAUUUGUAUUUUAAUAUUAUAAAAGCAUAAAAAGAACCUUUAGUUUGCACUUUAUAUACACCAGCAUGUAUGCCAUUUGUGCACGGCUCUCUGUGUGCUGCAACAAAACCUGAAGUGAAUAUGGCACAGAGACAUGUGAAUGCAUGUAAAUUUAAUAAUCCACCCCAACUUUAGAGGGCGCUUCCAAAUAAGCGCCCUCUAACCCUUUAAAUUUCCACUUUAGAGGGCGCUUUCCAGUAAAAGCGCCCUAAACCCUUAAAGGUUUCCACUUUAGAGGGCGCUUUCCAGUAAAGUGCCCUCUAAGCUUAAAGUUCCACUUUAGAGGCGGCUUUCUUUAAAAAGCGCCCUCUAAAGUGGCCCUUAAAGGGCUUAAAGAGCCCACCUUUAGAGACGCUUUCCAGACCAAAGAAAAAAAGCGCUGUCUUUACCUAUGCCAGCGCCAGAUUAGAGGGCGCUUUAAAGCGCUGUUAUAGGCCAAAAAAAGCGCCCUCUUUUCCCUUAUUUGGCGUAGUGUUACCACAUCUAUGAGAGAUGAGUUGUCAUCAUAAAAAGGGGAAUAAAGCAAAACCUUAUUUUGCAAUUCAUAGAGCACGAUUUUGAUGAUGACAACUAUUAAAGAUGUUCAUGUCUUGGAUAGUGAUAACAACUAAAGUCAAGCAUAAAGCAGUUAAACGGUUAAAAAUGCAAACCAGGAUAUUUGGGUUUGAUGAGACUUGACUAUCUGAUGAUGGCAACCAAAAGAUAUAUAUUUCGAACCUCAUAUUGAAGUGAACUCAAGCAAGUAUCUACAAGAAAGAAAGCAUUUGACAAUUCUUGUAGUACAAAAAAUACCUGUCUCGAUUGUCUGAGUUAAUACUUUGUAAAGCAUGAAAGAAUUCUUGUAAAAUUGUAUGGAUAAAUCACACACACACGAAAAUAUUUUUGAAACUAGAACUGUUUUUCAAAAAUAUCUUGAAUUUGUGCCAAAUUAGUUAUAAGUUAUUUGAAAAGCUAUGAAGGAUUUUUUGUCUUUGCAAAUUGAUUGGCACAUUGACCCAAUCGAUUGGGUCAGUUCAAAAAUGUGCCCUAAACAAUUACGGCAACAUCUUAAUGAGUUGUAACGGAUAAACAUAUUUUAUUUACAUUUUUAACUUGGUAAUUGAUUAAUUUGGAGGCUACCAAUCGAUUGGUAUAUGCUACCAAUCAGUUGGCAAGUCAUAAAUUGGCCUUAAAAUAACUUCCUUUUUGAGCCAACCUAUAGUCAAUAGAUAGAGGUACCUUUACCAUAUUCCAAAUCAUCUAGAAACGUGUUUCAUUUCACAAUUCUCACUUUCUCUAUAAACGUUUCUUUUGUUUACUUUCCCUCACUAAGAAUUUAGCCGAAGUGUUUUUCGAGAAAGUCUUUUUGCGAGUGAGGAAGUUGUAAUUCUGGAAGGAUACAAUUUUAAGUUCACCAAGGAACUUUUUUUUAUACCUUGGUUGAAAAUUUUAUCCUAUUAUGGAUUAUUUUUUUAGGCUCGAAGCUAAACCCGUAAAAAGAUUAGGUUUGGGAUUUGUGUGAUCAAGUCUCUUGCUUAUCUUCUAGAUCAACCCGGUGACAUAAUCUCAUAUAUUUUUGGUUAGACCGUGAUAAAACCAAGAUUAGGUUAAAACAUAGUCCUAUAUUAAAAUCUUGUUUCGGUUUGAGAUCAACUCGAUGGUAAAAUCUCAUAGGUUAUUUGUUAGCCCAUUAUAAAGUCAAUGUUUAGGUUCGAGAGCUCAUCUUGGUGUUAAAAGCUCCUAAAGUUUAUUUGAAGCUUGAAGACUAAGCACUCCAAGAUUCUUAUGGAAAGGAGACUAACCACUUAGAUCCUCUGUUUGGAAGGAAGACUCACCGCUUCGCUUCAUAGUUUGUUGUUUGGUUGGAAGUUAGCCAUAAACUUCUUUUUUCCUUGUAUAAGGGGGUUCGAGAGUUUAAACUACUAAAACUCUUAAGUUUAUUGGAUAAUCUCAAGAAUAAUUCUUGGGGAGAGGAUUAGGUAUUUUUCUCUUUUGACGGAACCUCUAUAAUUUCCAGUGUCUUCUCUUUUCCCUUAACUCUUUAAUGUACACACUUUAGUUUCUGAAAGUUUAUUUUUUCCACUACAUAACUUUAGAGUUUUUCUAAAAAUAUUUUCUAACUCGGAUUUUAAUUCUAAUUUUUUUCAAAACUAUGUUUUUUUGAAACAAAUCAUUCACCCCCUCUUGUGUACGAAGUCACAUGUCCAACACAACUGACACAAGACACGCCGAAAGGCAUCCUUUUUAAGAGGAUCCUCAUAAAAAACUUCCUCUAGUUGAGCAUCUAACGUAACCUGUUUCUCCUGAAGAUUUUAUACUCCUUUCACAAGACUUUCCUCUCAUUCUGCCAACGCUUUUAUUGUACACUGAAGAACAACAAAUUCAAUCUCCGCCUCGAGCUUACUCUGAUAGACGUCAUCCUCCAUCUUCUUAAGUUGGUUCUUGAGGUCAUUCAUUUGCCUAACUAAUUUAGUCGGAGAUCCAUGAAGAUGAUCUUUUUCAGAAAGGAGGGAUGACCGCCCUAGACGACCCUACUUCUCUAGAGAAUCCUUUUAAUCCCAACCUUCUUUACCUCACUAGGGUUAUAACGAGUCCUCAAUGAUGUAACCUCCCGGGAUAAAAAAACAGAUGCAAAAAAUGUUUCAAGACCGACAACUAACUGAUUAAAGAGUGGUACCGUUCUCAUCACAUUGGUGGCUAUCUUCUUUACCAGGUCAAACCUACCAGAAGGGGGGAGUGGACUAACGUAGGCGUAAUCCCUUGCAGGCACAAAAUUGUUUAUCCCGUCUAUUGAUUGAAGAAAAUGACUAUCCAACAUUGAAGGUAGUCGAAGAGAAGCAUUUCCUUCCCUUUUAAUAUGAUCAACUACAGGAGCAACUUUCACUCCCCUCGACCUCUUUACUCGAUCUUGGCCAGCGACAAAUGAAUUGGUCAUGUCAUGCUUCUUCUUAGAUUGACAUUCCGAAUGAGGCAAAAAAAACAGAGGGACCCCGAGUUCCAGUAUAAUUAUGUUCCCAAUAACAUGACCUUUCUUGAACCUAUAUGAAAAAGUAAGAAAGAUCAACGAAUGAGAACUAAAUAAGUCCAUGUAUCCACGAAGAAAAAAGAUAUAAAAUGAAUUACCAAACACUCCUUUCCGUCCUUCCACAAAACUAGCUUUUUCCACUUUCAUACAGUGUAACAUCUCAUUAGAAAACAAGAGCAAAAUCGCUUUCAUAUCCCCCAUCAACCUGGUUUAGAGCUUCAAAGGAACCUAGUAAUAUUUAGGACCUUUAGAGAAAUGGUCAGGUUACCAGAAUCGUCACCUUCGGUCUGUGUAUUUAACUUGUCCAAUAGAAGGGGGAGAGACAACACAAAAUUCCUCGUGAGAAAGAGGAUAAAGGAAGUAAUCGUUCUUGAAAUACUUCCAUCUGUCGAUGUAGAUCUUGAAGAUCCAAUUCUUAAUAGAACAUAGAGAAACAAGCCCAUGACCAAUGACAUCCUUUGGGACAUGAUUUACCUCAAAGAGAUGCAAAAUAGGUCUCGAGAAGCUGGAGCCAUUUUCUAUGGUAUUCAUACAAAUACUAGAAUACUCUAACAAAACUCCAAGCACAUGGAUGAAGUUACGAAUGGUGAAUGCAUAGAUGGUCCAGAAAAUGAAGGAUUAAAAGGGGAUAACGCACCCUUCAAACUUGUGGCAUAUCCUUUUCUCAGAUGAAAUUGAAAAAAUAUCCCAAUCGGAGGAAACCCCUAUUUCCAAAAAAGCAGGGCAUAUUUCUUCCCCUUGAACGAAAAUAGAUUCGUAGGCUAAAUAGGUUGACUCGACCCAAGAGUAAUCUUCUACCGCUAUCACUUCCAUCAAAUUGGUUAGGUAAGCAAAUAUCUAAGUUUACAAAAUGAAACAGGUUAAUACGAUGAUGAUGGACGAAUAGGUAACGACAACAGAAAAGAGGAAAACUUGAGAACAAUGUCUAGCUUUUGUAAGAAGGGAUAAUACAAGGAUUGAUAGUUCAGAUUGAACAACAGGAGAAAAUAUGAGGGUAAUCAAUAUAUUGUCCCAUGAAUCCAAACGAUGACAAAAAAAACUUAAGUACCCUUUGUAGGGCAAUCGAUCCCUAACCUACACGCGUAGGGCGACGUGUUGGCAAGAAGAAGUGAAAAUGGCCCAUUGAUAAGAAAGCAUUAAAUGCGCUUGUCCCGUACUAUUUAUGCGACAAACUCUAAAUGUUUCAAUUUUGGAACAACAAAUAUGAAUUCUCAGAAAACCGACUCCAGUCACUAAAGACUCCUCAGUAUCCAAGGUACCCGGUAAGUCUUGGGGGCAACUGUUCUGCACCGGCCAAAAGACCCAUAAUAGCAAAGUCCGUAUUGGUUCACGCUGCUCAACCCAAGGUAUAAAUACCCUUCCACACCAAUUUCAAUUGCAUUCUCUAAUUUCUAGUAUUCACUACACUCAUCUUUAAUCUUAAACUGACUUCGAUGUUAGAAUGCUAUUCACCCCGCACCAUCGUAAAAGAGAUCAAUACCAUAGUUUAAGACCACCAAUUCUUCAACUAUAUUCAUUUCAGAUUCAUGAAGUGAACAACUAUAAUUAGAACUAAAAAGAUUAAAAUCAUUCCGCCCAAAAAUGAUCAUUACCAAUAAUUCUAAAUCCUAAGUGUUAAGUCCUAAUUCUACCUUUAUAAAUAUUUUAAUCAAUCCAAAAUUCUUCCACCCAAAUUAAUCAUUAUCUUAGAUGAUUAACAAAUUUAGCAAAUUUGAUAUGUAAACGGUCCUCAACAGAACCAUACUUUUAAUUAUCCAAAUUCACUCUUAGACUAAGAUUUCUUUUCUGUUUUUUUUUUCUAUCAUCUCCUAUUUGACUUUGUUUUUUAAUGAACAAGAAGAAAUAAAAUUAAUUAUUGGGUCUCCAAUGUUUAACCAAUUUCAAAUUUGCGUACCUAGACAUGUUUUUUUCUUCUUCUUAUGAAAUGGUUUGGGAUCACGUCACAUCUAGUAGUUUAGUGUUACGAUCAUGGAGUCCCAAAUCAUGUUAAAGUAAUGCUUGUUUUAUUUUUUAUUACUUUGUUACAAAUUAUGUUAUGGCCAUAUCUCUACAUAGUCUUGUCACUAAUCAUGUGGUAAAAGAAUGAUUAUGAAAUGAGAAAUUCAUAUUUUCUUCUUUAAAAAAAACACUAUAGCCAAUUGAGAGAAAAUAAUGUAGAUACUUUUUACCUUUUAGAUCUUCAUUCACACACAAAAAAUAGACUUUGGAUCAUCGACUCUAAUAAUAUACAUCAUAAUAUGUUGUACCAACAAUCCUUUCAUUCAAAUAACACACAAUAAUGUAUUCCAUUUAUCAUAUGCAGAGAUUUAUGAUUCAAGCUUUUAGCUACACUUUACACAAGAAAACCAAACACAAACCAACCACAAUUCUCAUAACCUUUCAACAAAAUCAAAUAUUUCAAUCUGCUGAAGAGAGAUCCAUGACCACAUUAAUUAUAUUAUUCUAAAAAACCAAACACACAUGUGUACUCAUACACACAAUUAAACAUAAUGGUUUCAAUAUCUCUGCUUCAAGCUUUUAUAUGUUACACUUCAUUUGCAGUUGCAAG
rnacentral:lncRNA from 1 species